rnacentral:rRNA from 1 species
AUUGAACGCUGGCGGCAGGCCUAACACAUGCAAGUCGAGCGGAUGAAGGGAGCUUGCUCCUGGAUUCAGCGGCGGACGGGUGAGUAAUGCCUAGGAAUCUGCCUGGUAGUGGGGGAUAACGUCCGGAAACGGGCGCUAAUACCGCAUACGUCCUGAGGGAGAAAGUGGGGGAUCUUCGGACCUCACGCUAUCAGAUGAGCCUAGGUCGGAUUAGCUAGUUGGUGGGGUGAAGGCCUACCAAGGCGACGAUCCGUAACUGGUCUGAGAGGAUGAUCAGUCACACUGGAACUGAGACACGGUCCAGAGUCCUGCGGGAGGGAGCAGUGGGCAAUGUUGGACAGUAGGCGAGAGCAUGACACAGCCAUGCCGAGUGUGUGAAGGAAGUCUUGGGAUUGUAAAGCACUUUAAGUUGGGAGGAAGGGCAGUAAGUUAAUACGUUGCUGUUUUGACGUUACCAACAGAAGAAGCACCGGCUAACUUCGUG